CCGCACAAGCAGCGGAGCAUGCGGCUUAAUUCGACGCAACGCGAAGAACCUUACCAAGGCUUGACAUAUACAGGAAUAUGGCAGAGAUGUCAUAGCCGCAAGGUCUGUAUACAGGUGGUGCAUGGUUGUCGUCAGCUCGUGUCGUGAGAUGUUGGGUUAAGUCCCGCAACGAGCGCAACCCUCGUUCUGUGUUGCCAGCAUUUAGUUGGGGACUCACAGGAGACUGCCGGGGUUAACUCGGAGGAAGGUGGGGAUGACGUCAAAUCAUCAUGCCCCUUAUGUCUUGGGCUGCACGCAUGCUACAAUGGCUGGUACAAACGGCUGCGAUACCGCAAGGUGGAGCGAAUCCGAUAAAGCCAGUCUCAGUUCGGAUUGGGGUCUGCAACUCGACCCCAUGAAGUCGGAGUUGCUAGUAAUCGUAGAUCAGCAACGCUACGGUGAAUACGUUCCCGGGGCUUGUACACACCGCCCGUCACGUCACGAAAGUCGGUAACACCCGAAGUCAGUGGCCCAACC
rnacentral:rRNA from 1 species